rnacentral:rRNA from 1 species
AUGCAAGUCGAACGAGAAAGUUUUCUUCGGAAAACGAGUAAAGUGGCGCACGGGUGAGUAACGCGUGAAUAAUCUACCCCUGAAUUUGGGAUAACAGUUCGAAAGGGCUGCUAAUACCGGAUGACAUUCUUCUUACCACGGUUUGAAGAAUCAAAGAGGGCCUCUCCUUGGAAGCUCUUGUUUGGGGAUGAGUUCGCGUCCCAUUAGCUUGUUGGUGGGGUAACGGCCUACCAAGGCAACGAUGGGUAGCUGGUCUGAGAGGAUGAUCAGCCACACUGGAACUGACACACGGUCCAGACUCCUACGGGAGGCAGCAGUGAGGAAUUUUGCGCAAUGGGGGAAACCCUGACGCAGCAACGCCGCGUGAGUGAUGAAGGCUCUUGGGUCGUAAAGCUCUGUCAAGUGGGAAGAAACCUUCCAUGAUUAAUACUUAUGGGAAUUGACGGUACCACUGAAGGAAGCACCGGCUAACUCCGUGCCAGCAGCCGCGGUAACACGGGGGGUGCAAGCGUUAUUCGGAAUUAUUGGGCGUAAAGGGCGCGUAGGCGGCCAUUUAAGUCGGGUGUGAAAUCCCGGGGCUUAACCCCGGAACUGCAUCCGAUACUGGGUGGCUUGAGUAUGGGAGAGGGAAGUGGAAUUCCAGGUGUAGAGGUGAAAUUCGUAGAUAUCUGGAGGAACACCAGUGGCGAAGGCGACUUCCCGGACCAAUACUGACGCUGAGGCGCGAAGGCGUGGGGAGCAAACAGGAUUAGAUACCCU